GGUCAUCAAUAUUCAGAUUGUAUAUUUAAGGAUGAUACAAAUGAAAAUGAUGGGAACUUUAGAGCUAUUCUCAGAAACCGAGCAAUUGGAGAUGAUGAGCUCAGGAUUAACUGUUAAAUGUACCGAAAAAAGAUCCAUAUUUAAGCCCCACCAUUCAAAACGAAAUCAUUGAUGUGUGUAAUGAUUUAAUAUUAAGAAAGGUAGUUGCCAACAUUAACAAGUCUCCAUUCUUUUCAGUCUUGGCAGAUGAAUCAACUGAUAUAUCUGGCAUAGAGCAAAUGUCCUUGUGUGCUCGAUAUUUAUGUUCUGAAAAUGAUGAAGUUCAAAUAAAAGAAGACUGCAAUUUAUUCCGAUUCAAGAUAUGAGAGGUGAAUGUCUUGCUAACACAAUUGAUGUUCAUCUUAAAAAAUUUAAAAUUAAUGUUAAUUUUAUGCGGGGACAAGGAUAUGAUGGUGCCCCUGCUAUAAGUGGACAUUUAAAUGGUGUCCAAUCACAUUUAAUAAAAAAAUAUCCUACUGCAAUUUAUGUACAUUGUGCAUCGCAUUCCCUAAAUCUAGCCAUUUCUGAUUGUUGCUCAAUUCCCGUUAUUCGUAGUACCAUGGAGGCACAAUAGGCAAGGUAUAUAAUAUGUUCAAGUAUCCAAAAAGAUCUUAUGUCCUCAAAAAUAUUUUGGCAAAGGAAGAAUUUGGCAAUAAUC